GGGUGGAGGCGGCCCCCGCCCCCCAUGUGAAACCCCUUCGACGAGUCGAGUUGUUUGGGAAUGCAGCUCAAAAUGGGUGGUAAAUUUCAUCUAAAGCUAAAUACCGGCCAGAGACCGAUAGCGCACAAGUAGAGUGAUCGAAAGAUGAAAAGCACUUUGGAAAGAGAGUUAAACAGUACGUGAAAUUGUUGAAAGGGAAGCGCUUGCGACCAGACUUGCCCGCGGGGGAUCAGCCUCCCUUCGGGGGGGUGCACUCCCCCGCGGUCAGGCCAGCAUCGGUUCGGGCGGCCGGAUAAAGGCCCCGGGAAUGUGGCUCCCUCCGGGGAGUGUUAUAGCCCGGGGCGCAAUGCGGCCAGCCGGGACCGAGGACCGCGCCUUGGCCAGGAUGCUGGCGUAAUGGUCGUCAGCGACCCGUCUUGAAACACGGACCAAGGAGUCUAACAUCUACGCGAGUGUUUGGGUGUCAAGCCCGGGCGCGGAAUGAAAGUGAACGGAGGUGGGAGCCCCGGGGCGCACCAUCGACCGAUCCUGAUGUCUUCGGAUGGAUUUGAGUAGGAGCGUAGCUGUUGGGACCCGAAAGAUGGUGAACUAUGCCUGAAUAGGGUGAAGCCAGAGGAAACUCUGGUGGAGGCUCGCAGCGGUUCUGACGUGCAAAUCGAUCGUCAAAUUUGGGUAUAGGGGCGAAAGACUAAUCGAACCAUCUAGUAGCUGGUCCGCCCCGAAGUUUCCC
rnacentral:rRNA from 1 species